GGGGUGUCUACUCCGAGGUUGUGCCUACGGGAUCAAGUUCUCCUAACCCGAGGCUUGCUCCUAGGAUUCUUUAGUAAUUCGACUUCUAAAUUCUAGUAAGUUCUUGUUUUAUUGUUCUUUGGUUUAUGAGUUUACUUUAAUCUCUUCCGGUUGAGUUUAGAGUAAUCAUUACUAGUGUAAACGUGGUGUUUGGGCUAGGGUACUCAUAGAUAUCCCCUGACUAGCU
rnacentral:lncRNA from 1 species